rnacentral:rRNA from 1 species
GAUGAACGCUGGCGGCGUGCCUAAUACAUGCAAGUCGAGCGAACGGACGAGAAGCUUGCUUCUCUGAUGUUAGCGGCGGACGGGUGAGUAACACGUGGAUAACCUACCUAUAAGACUGGGAUAACUUCGGGAAACCGGAGCUAAUACCGGAUAAUAUUUUGAACCGCAUGGUUCAAAAGUGAAAGACGGUCUUUCUGUCACUUAUAGAUGGAUCCGCGCUGCAUUAGCUAGUUGGGAAGGUAACGGCUUACCAAGGCAACGAUGCAUAGCCGACCUGAGAGGGUGAUAGGCCACACUGGAACUGGGACACGGUCCAGACUCCUACGGGAGGCCGCAGUAGGGAAUCUUACGCAAUGGGCGAAAGCCUGACGGAGCAACGCCGCGUGAGUGAUGAAGGUCUUCGGAUCGUAAAACUCUGUUAUUAGGGAAGAACAUAUGUGUAAGUAACUGUGCACAUCUUGACGGUACCUAAUCAGAAAGCCACGGCUAACUACGUG